GCUGAGCAAGUGUGUCUGCCGUGACAUCUGCCAGCUAAGGAAGUAGGGCUGUGCCCCUGACUCCUGGCAUGCCCGCCCCUUGCCACCCUGACAUGCUUGAUCCAGGCUUCAGUGGAACCUGGAGAAGAGGGUCUCUAGUCUAGUUCAAAGUGCCCCAGUCAGGGCUAGGGCUGGCUGGGCCACCUGGCUGUCCCUCCAAGGCCCGCUGAGCCUUGGCCUCACCCGAGGGCCAGCUGGACGAAUGCUCCAAUUAAAGGCCCUGGACUUACAGGGAAAACCAGAAGGUGCGAAGCAGCCAGGCCAUGCGUGUGCUUCUUGGAGACACAGCCCACUCUCACCCUUGCCUCAUCCAUCUUCGAUGGAUGGAGGGGAUGUUGUAGAAGCUUCCAGAAAAAAAAGUAAGGAGCUCUGUCUAAUGGCAGGUCCUGACCUGCAGCCACAUUUUCUGUAUUCACUCUUUGUCUUGUUGCUGCAACAAAAGACCUUAAAAAACAAGUUUAAAGAGGGAAGAGUUUACUUAUACUCACAGUUUGAGAGAACAGUCAAUUAUGACAGGCAAGGCCCGGGGACAGGACCGUGAGGCAGCUGCUAGCAUCCACAGUCAGGAAGCAGAGAGGGGUGAAUGCUGGUGUUUAGCUCCUUUUUUAUGCUGUCCAUG
rnacentral:lncRNA from 1 species